UACGAAGGGGGCAAGCGUUGUUCGGAUUUAUUGGGCGUAAAGGGCGUCUAGGUGGCUCAUUAAGUUGGAUGUGAAAGCCUUCAGCUCAACUGAAGAACUGCAUCCAAAACUGAUAAGCUUGAGUCCAGAAGAAGAGAGCGGAAUUCUCAGUGUAGCGGUGAAAUGCGUAGAUAUUGAGAAGAACACCAGUGGCGAAGGCGGCUCUCUAGUCUGAAACUGACACUAAAGCGCGAAAGCUAGGGGAG
rnacentral:rRNA from 1 species